UAUCAGGGAAUUCCCCAGACGCUUUUAGCGCAUCGGCACCGAUGCGCUAAAAUUUCAGAACAAGAAAUCCCGAUGCGCUUAAAAUUAUCAUAGCGCUUUAAAAAAUGACCGAUAUUCCUUUCUAUUGUGUCUAUAAGUUAACCCCAAUUAGCCAAAUAAACAAGCCAAUAUACAUGUCCUGUGUAGAUAAUUACCCGAGGCGUAUACACAACCCGAUACACUGAUUGCCUUGAGACUGUGUGACGUCACAGACACCUGUCAUCGAUGUCUGCAGACGACUGUUGGUGCACUUUCAGGUGUUGUCAAUUACCGUGUAUUGAGAUGGGUGCAAUUUAACCGCGGCAUGUGUGAUAUUUACAUGUUUCAGAUGGACAGCUUUGUGAAGUGCAAUCAACUGUCCAUGCCCCUUAGCAUUGGUUUGUCAGGACAUACAGGAGCUGGCCAGGCACUUUGGUGUAGAUAUGGAGCAGUGCCGCAGCCACUGGCACCAGGUACGUGCCAGUCUAGAGGGGAUUGAUCAGUCAGCCGACCAGACCAUGAUCUGGAUUACUGGCAACCUUUCUACCAGUCAUCCAGCUCUUUAAAGAAUUGCUGCUGUGGGUCUCCUCCUCCCAACCUCUACUGCAGAUUGUGAGCGAGGAUUCAGCUGCCUG